rnacentral:tRNA from 1 species
GGGGCUGGGGCUCAGUGGUAGAGCGCUUGCCUAGCAUGCGUGAGGCACUGGGUUCAAUCCUCAGCACCA